GGCCCAGAUCGUUUACCGUGAAGAAAUUAGAGUGUUCAAAGCGGGCGCGAAAGCAAUUUCUCGCCCGUUGAAUUGAACGUCAGCAUGGGAUAAUGGAAUAGGACCCCGCUCUCCUAUUUUCCGUUGGUUUCCGGGAGCGGGGUAAUGAUUGAUAGGGAUAGUUGGGGGCAUCGAUAUUUAAUUGUCAGAGGUGAAAUUCUUGGAUUUAUGAAAGAUCGACUUCCGCGAAAGCAUUUGCCAAGGAUGUUUUCAUUAAUCAAGAACGAAAGUUAGGGGAUCGAAGACGAUCAGAUACCGUCGUAGUCUUAACCAUAAACCGUGCCGACCAGCGAUCGGGAGACGUCGCAUGGAUGACUCCCCUAGCAGCUUGUGAGA
rnacentral:rRNA from 1 species